rnacentral:rRNA from 1 species
UACCCGCUGAACUAAGCAUAUCAAUAAGCGGAGGAAAAGAAACUAACAAGGAUUCCCCCAGUAACGGCGAGUGAAGAGGGAACAGCCCAAAUUUGUAAUCUGGCCCUYUCAGGGUCCGAGUUGUAAUCUCGAGAACUGUUUUCCGUGCUGGACCGCGUACAAGUCUGUUGGAAUAUAGCUUCAUAGAGGGUGAGAAUCCCGUACAUGACGCGGACUACCAGUACAAUGUGAUACAGUCUCUAAGAGUCGAGUUGUUUGGGAAUGCAGCUCAAAAUGGGUGGUAAAUUCCAUCUAAGGCUAAAUAUUGGCGAGAGACCGAUAGCGAACAAGUACCGUGAGGGAAAGAUGAAAAGCACUUUGGAAAGAGAGUUAACAGUACGUGAAAUUGUUGAAAGGGAAACGCUUGAAGUCAGUCUUGUACUUGGUUGUUCAGCCUUAUGGUGUAUUCAAYUACCCGCUGAACUAAGCAUAUCAAUAAGCGGAGGAAAAGAAACUAACAAGGAUUCCCCCAGUAACGGCGAGUGAAGAGGGAACAGCCCAAAUUUGUAAUCUGGCCCUYUCAGGGUCCGAGUUGUAAUCUCGAGAACUGUUUUCCGUGCUGGACCGCGUACAAGUCUGUUGGAAUAUAGCUUCAUAGAGGGUGAGAAUCCCGUACAUGACGCGGACUACCAGUACAAUGUGAUACAGUCUCUAAGAGUCGAGUUGUUUGGGAAUGCAGCUCAAAAUGGGUGGUAAAUUCCAUCUAAGGCUAAAUAUUGGCGAGAGACCGAUAGCGAACAAGUACCGUGAGGGAAAGAUGAAAAGCACUUUGGAAAGAGAGUUAACAGUACGUGAAAUUGUUGAAAGGGAAACGCUUGAAGUCAGUCUUGUACUUGGUUGUUCAGCCUUAUGGUGUAUUCAAYCUCGAACAGGCCAGCAUCAGUUUUAGAUGUCGGAUAAGGGUAGAGGAAACGUAGCAGUCUCGGCUGUGUUAUAGUCCUUUACUUGAUACGACGUCCGGGACUGAGGAACGCAGUGAGCCUUUUGGCGGGUCUUCGGACCUUCUCACUAUGGAUGCUGGCGUAAUGGCUUUAAACGACCCGUCUUGAAACACGGACCAAGGAGUCUAACAUGCUUGCGAGUGUUUGGGUGUCAAACCCGGGCGCGUAAUGAAAGUGAAUGUAGGUGGGAAUCGUAAGAUGCACCAUCGACCGGUCCGGAUUUUUAAUGAUGGAUCUGAGUAAGAGCAAGUACGUUGGGACCCGAAAGAUGGUGAACUAUGCCUGAAUAGGGCGAAGCCGAGAACUCUGGUGGAGGCUCGUACCGUUCUGACUGCAAUCUAUGCCAAUUGGGUAUGGGGCAAAGAAUUAACCUUUUGGAAA